CGGCCGUACAUGCUAAAUAUACCGGUUCUCGUUAGAUCACCGAAGUCAAGCAUCAUCUGUCAGUACUUGGGUGGGUGACCACCUGGGAACACCGCGUGCCGUU